rnacentral:rRNA from 1 species
AGUAACGCGUAGAUAAUCUGCCCUUCAGCCUGGGACAACUUCUCGAAAGGGGAGCUAAUACCGGAUAAUACAUUUUGUCGAGUGUCAGAAUGUUGAAAGAUUUAUCACUGGGGGAUGAGUCUGCGUACCAUUAGCUUGUUGGUAGGGUAAAGGCCUACCAAGGCGACGAUGGUUAGCGGGUCUGAGAGGAUGAUCCGCCACACUGGAACUGAGACACGGUCCAGACUCC